AAUCUGCCCUUGGUCUCCUUUGGCAAAGACCCCCCAGGAGGAGAAAGCCCCCGUCGGCCCCUGGCUCUUGGCCCUCUUCGUCUUCGUCGUCUGUGGCUCAGCCAUCUUCCAGAUGAUCCAGAGCAUCCGCCUGGGGGGUUAGCGGGCGAGAACCCUCUCUGCCACCCUUCACCAUGCUGCUGACCCUCAGGGAAUCGCGGGGCAUCGUCUGGACCUCCCGGUGACCCUUUUCGGAAAUGUUUACGACCCCGGGUGCUCUUCCUCUCUCUCUGCGGCCAAGAUCCGGCUCUCCCCCGCCCCGUCUGCUCCCCAUCCUGCUUCCCUGGCCUGACCAGGGUCUCCGUGAUGGUUUGCGGGACUCUGGAGCGAACUGAGGUGCUUUGGGUGCGCCUGCCGGCGACGCAGGGGAGGAAAGGCUGAGUCACUUGGGACGUUUUCACGAGGAACCCCCACGGUGGGCGACGGCGAGGAGGGCAGCGAACUCGGUUGCAGGGUUUGGGAUCGGGGGUGGGGUGAGGGUGGUUCUCUUCCCGUCAACGAGUGCAUUGUCCCUAACUCUUCUCUGGCUGCACCGCCAAAUAAAAAUUUUACCUUGCCGAA